GACGAACGCUGGCGGCGUGCUUAACACAUGCAAGUCGAACGGAAAGGCCCUGCUUUUGUGGGGUGCUCGAGUGGCGAACGGGUGAGUAACACGUGUGUAACCUGCCCUUGACUUUGGGAUAACUUCAGGAAACUGGGGCUAAUACCGGAUAGGAGCUCCUGCUGCAUGGUGGGGGUUGGAAAGUUUCGGCGGUUGGGGAUGGACUCGCGGCUUAUCAGCUUGUUGGUGGGGUAGUGGCUUACCAAGGCUUUGACGGGUAGCCGGCCUGAGAGGGUGACCGGCGACAAUGGUCCUGAGGUACGGCGCAGACUCCUACGGGAGGCAGCGGUGGGGAAUAUUGCAGAGUGGGCGGAAGCCUGAUGCAGCAGCGCCGCGUGCGGGAUGACGGCCUUCGGGUUGUAAACCGCUUUCGCCUGUGACGAAGCGUGAGUGACGGUAAUGGGUAAAGAAGCACCGGCUAACUACGUG
rnacentral:rRNA from 1 species